GACGAACGCUGGCGGCGUGCCUAAUACAUGCAAGUCGAGCGGACAGAUGGGAGUUUGCUCCCUGAAGUCAGCGGCGGACGGGUGAGUAACACGUGGGCAACCUGCCUGUAAGACUGGGAUAACUUCGGGAAACCGGAGCUAAUACCGGAUAAUCCUUUCCUUUCAUGAGGAAAAGCUGAAAGACGGUUUCGGCUGUCACUUACAGAUGGGCCCGCGGCGCAUUAGCUAGUUGGUGAGGUAACGGCUCACCAAGGCGACGAUGCGUAGCCGACCUGAGAGGGUGAUCGGCCACACUGGGACUGAGACACGGCCCAGACUCCUACGGGAGGCAGCAGUAGGGAAUCUUCCGCAAUGGACGAAAGUCUGACGGAGCAACGCCGCGUGAACGAUGAAGGCCUUCGGGUCGUAGAGUUCUGUUGUUAGGGAAGAACAAGUACCGUUCAAAUAGGGCGGUACCUUGACGGUACCUAACCAGAAAGCCACGGCUAACUACGUG
rnacentral:rRNA from 1 species